rnacentral:rRNA from 1 species
CACGUAGGGCGCAAGCGUUGUCCGGAAUUAUUGGGUGUAAAGAGCUCGUAGGCGGUCUGUUGCGUCUGCUGUGAAAACCCGGGGCUUAACCCCUGGCUUGCAGUGGAUACGGACAGACUAGAGGUAGGUAGGGGAGAAUGGAAUUCCCGGUGUAGCGGUGAAAUGCGCAGAUAUCGGGAGGAACACCGGGUGGCGAAGGCGGUUCUCUGGGCCUUACCUGACGCUGAGGAGCGAAAGCGUGGGGAGCGAACAGG